GACCACAUGGACGAGUCGUCGCGGUUGGGACUGAGGUGCCUACAACGUGCUUUUGAGUGGGCUUGGGUCUCCGUGUGCGCCGUGUGCGGAUAGCUUGCUAUGCGUGUGUGGUUGUAUGUGGAUUGAUGCGAGCCGUAACUUGUAGUCGUUCGGGACGUUGACGAAAAUGGAGCGAUUUGACCCGUCUUGAACCACGGGACCA
rnacentral:rRNA from 1 species